AGGUUUCAAUACAUUCUUGCC
rnacentral:siRNA from 1 species